ACUAAAAAAAGAAAAAAACCAACACACCAGGCCACGAACUGUCCACUCUCCCACCCGACCCCCUUCCCCCUGAUGCCCUGCUGCCGCGGCGAUCUCCCAGAUGUCGCCGUCGCGCGACCUUCUGGCGCGGCCUCCCCUGCCUCCUCCUGGAACCAGCACCACCGACCUGCCUCCUUCCGGCGCGCCGACGACCUCGCCCCGCCCUACCGACAUCGCCUCCUUCCGGCGCGCCGCCGACCUCGCCCCGCCCUACCGACGUCGCCUCCUUCCGGCGCGCCGCCGACCUCGCCCUAGCUCGACCGACCUCCCAUCAUCCUUCGCCGGCGACCGCCGGACCUCCGCCUCCGCACGCCUAAGCUCUCCUUCUUCCUUCUCCUCACCCUCUCAUCGGCGCAGCAGCGCCCAAAAUCCUACGCGCAUCCUCGCGCCGCCACCGGGGCCUGGAACCCCAGAUGCCGUCGCCGGUCCAGGAUCCCGGCGCGCCACGGGGCCAUGGAUUCCCGUGCGCUACCGGACGGCCCUGUAUCCCACACGCCGUCGUCGCCGCCUACCCAAAGCGCCUCCACUGGCCGACAGCUCUGCCUCCACUAGCCCCGAUGGUGGAUCCAUGGUGGGCUGCUGGAUCUCGUCCCCUCCUCUGCGUGGAGACCUGCUGGAGGCCCUCCUCCUCGACAGGAUGCCGUCCACCUAGGGCCAGUGGGAGCAAGCCGCCAUGGCUCUCCGAUGCUCCGGUGAGGUACUCCCAAUUAUCUCUACUGCUCUGGUGAGGCCACCCUCCUCUCCCUGCCGUAGCCUCAAACUUUCCCUCGUCGUAGAAGAAGUUGGGUAAUGUGGCGCUGCUGUUGAUUGUCUAGGUUGUAGUCCAGAAAAGUUUUGGACAGAAGUUCAAGUGGUUCCACUCCUGUAAUUUAGAGAUAUUGAUGUUGAUGAUUAUGUAAAAAAAAUUAACAUAAGUUCAAAGUUUGAAUGAAAAGGAAAAAAUAGCUCCAUUUUAAGAAGAAAACUGAAAAAGCCAUUGUCACAGGGCCGAACAUGAAGGUCUGAUGUUGAGAAGCAACUUGAGACUCCCAAGCUCUGCAGAUGUCUCUUGGAUGUGGCGUUCUUCUAUGUGCAGCUAAUUGGAACUCUCCGCUGCUGGAACAAUGAAAUUAACCGCGCAGCUAGAUCCCAACCUUUUGCUCAUCCCAUGCGCUCAAAUUUGUGCUUGGCUUCGGAGACGUUCCACGAAGUCCCACUACAUCUAUAUGUCAUGUUCUUCGGAGAUGUUCUGUGAAGUUCUACUGUUGUGCGACACUGUGGGCUCGUGUGUGCGGGCGCCAGUAUGGUGUGCUUGGUUCACGUGUGCCUUGCAAGAUGCAUGUUUGCCAUGCUGGAUGCUGGCCAGCACGCUCUUCCUGUGCAUCGCCGCUGCUCUAACCACACUUGUAAGCUGCAGCUGGUUCUCUCUCCAUGUGUUUAUUAAAAAAAGGAAGACCCCAAAUCUAUAAAAGAGCAUCAUGUCCUAGGGCAUGUGUGUUGGGUCUGGUGUCUCGUGUGUGUGCACGCUCACCUUGUGGGAGCUUGUGUUUUGUGCUCCUGUUCCGGUCUGCAUGAGGAAGUUUAGCCUUAUCCUUUGUAAAGGUUCAAUGUGUAUGUAUGGGAAUGCACAUUGGGCAUUGUGUUUGCAUGAAGGUCACUGAGCACCAAUAUGUAUAUAUGUUAGCAGUUGGUGUCUAGUGGUUGUUAGUUACCACUUUGGCAUGAACAUUGCUUCUGUGUGUUGUGUGUUGUGCUUGACGGAGAUCGAAAUGCUUCUUGUAAAUAUAAAUUAGAAAUCCUAGUAUAUGUGUUCUCUUGAAAAA